CACACACAUAAGCUACUCGUAACACUAUGCCUCGUUAUUGCGACGUUCAUGUUAGAUGUUCAUGUAUUUUCCCAUCUAUUGAAAGAUGGCUAUUAAACAUUUUGCAUUCUAUACGGCCUGAUUAUGUAAUUAUUUAAGCUGCAUAGCCAAUGAGAAGCGCCAAUAGGAUAUUUGACUAAACCACCAAACUAGUUGAGGGUUUUUGCCUACCUGCAAGCAUCCUCCAACUUCAAUCUUUGGUUAUUUAUUAAUUAAUUUAGCUGUACUUUAAUAGGAUUUCCGAAUUGAAGCUAUGUUGACUGGGCAUAGCGCUAUAUUUUUUUCUGAUCUGGGUUUUUCCCUUUCUUCAGGAUGUCUUUCUCUCUUAAGGAGAUGUGUGAAAUGGUCAAUGUCAGGUAUGAUAGGGUACUUGAGGCGAACGUGAGGGUCAACAAUGAGGAGGAAGAUUCAGUUGAAAGUGACGGUGCAAAUACAGCUGCCAAUGAGGGUAUGUACUUUAGGCUUAAAUAUUUUUUCUCCCAGUAGCAGCUACCUACUAUUCUGCAACCCAAAGCCUAUUGAUGUGUUGCACAUUAAGAUGAAAGCCUGCCACACUUGUUGUUCUGAUUCCCUUGAUCAAGGAAGGAAUCCAAAUACUAACUCAUCAAAUUAUUCUCUGGAAAGUGAUAAUGACAAUCACUCUGAAAGUGCCAGUGAUGACUCACUUGAACACGAUCCUGAAAAUGACCCGGAAUACACACCUGUCAAUGAAGAUGCUGUUGAUGUUGAUGUUGCUGUUGACCGGGGAAGGUCAAGAAAGAGGGCCAACCCAGACGCUUGGAAGGGUAACAUUCAGAAAAGGAGAAGAAUGAGGGGCCAAUCAUAUCUUGGACGAAAAAAAAAUGAAUUCAUCAACAUAGAAGAAAGAAAAAUGGAGGGGCGGUGCCUGGCUGAGGCCUGCCGGAAAUCCAGCAAACUACACUGCACCGAAAUCGAUGAAGGGAAGAGGGAAAAAAUAUUCAAGUAUUUUUGGGGGAAAUUGGACUGGAAAGAAAGGAAAAUCUAUGUGAAGUCACUGGUGGAGGUGAGUGAUGUCAAGCGGCGCCGGACAGAAGCGGUUCAGUCUCGGAGGUCAGCAUCUCUCUGUUGUUUUUUAUGUGUUGAUGGUAAAAGGCUCAGAGUUUGUCAGCGGAUGUUCCUGUCGACCCUUGGCAUCAAGCAGUGGAGUGUUCUAAAAUGGGUUGGAAGAAGAGAUGAAAGUCCUGAGAAGACGGCAAGAGUGAGGGUGAGGACAGAGGAGCGGGACUUCCUAAAGUCCUUUCUUCUUGAACUGCCGAAAGUACCAUCGCACUACUGUAGGUCCUCCUCUUCCAAGAUGUACCUGGAGCCUUUAUUCAAAUCAAUCAAUCAUCUCCACUCACAAUAUAAGCAGGCAUGUGCAGCCAACGGCAUCCAGGCUCUGUCAAGACAAGUGUUCAGUAACACCUUUAAAGAAUUAAAUCUGUCAUUGUUCCAUCCAAAAAAAGAUCAGUGUGACACUUGCUGUGCCUUCAAAGCCGGGAACAUCGAGGCUGCUGUGUGGGAGGAACACUGCGUUAAGAAGGACGAGGCACGAGCAGAAAAGGAUAGGGACAAGCAACUUGCAAAUAACACCACCUUGGUUGCAUGCAUGGAUCUGCAGGGCCUUCUCCUCUGCCCAAAGCUUCAAGCGUCUGCCCUCUAUUUCAAAAUGAAGCUGAGUGUCCAUAAUUUUACCAUCUACAAUAUGGCAUCACAUGAAGCGACAAAUUACCUUUGGCAUGAGGGUGAGGGGGGGGUCUCUGCCAAUGAGUUUGCCUCCUGCAUUGUGGACUAUCUUGAAACACACCUCACUUACACUGAAUUCAUUCUUUGGAGUGAUGGGUGUGGUUAUCAAAACCGAAACCUGGUCCUGAGCAAUGCCCUCUUAAAGUUUGCCACUGAAAGAAA
ensembl:lncRNA